GUGUCUUUUGAUGCCUAAAAGUUUGAAUUAUAUAUAUGAACAUUAGAAACACUUCAUAUACAUGAAGAGGAGUGUCCUCAUUCAAGUGGUACCUCUUGAUAUUAAGAGGUGCAAUCCAAGAGAUACAUGGUUUCUGGAUUAAAGUUACACCAAUUUAGAAAAGACACAAACUCCUAUAUAAAUAGAGGAGAAUUUUCUGCAAAAAACUACUCAAUCCUAUUCAUUAUAAGCUCUCCUCCUUCUAGUGUCAUAAAGCAAAAACCAUCUAGAGAUUAUAAUCUGUAGCAAUAACCUCUAGACGUUCUUGAUUCUAAAGUGUGUUUGGGGUUUGUCUUUGAGUGUGCAACUCGUUGACAAACAACGCAGCUAUAGGCUGGGCUUAUUGUAUCCAUGGGUGGAACCACACUAAGGGCUACACUGGGUUGUAGCUGAGCGAGGUUUUUUUAGGGAAAAAAACAUCAAACUUAUAUAUUUAACUUGUUUUAAAUAUUAGCCAAUAUAUAUUAACUUAUUUAAGUCCAAAAAAGUCUAAUUCUUUAUGAAUUUAGUUGCAGGCAAGCAAUAAAAAUACACAUUAAAAUAGGCACACUUUCAAUUCUAUGGUUUAAUACAUUUUUAUUUUGAUAAUGUGUGUUUUUCAGUUGCAUUUGAUAUGUAUUUGUUUUAUGAUAAAUCUUAUUGGGAAUCAGUCAAUAGGGUUAUGAACUAACGUAGUUUAUAUGAUAUAAUAUUUACUUUUAUUUAUAGAAACCUAUAGAAACUGUAAGUAGAAAAAAAAUUAUCAUUAGAUUUUAAGUUAAUAACUUUAGUUAGCCCACUCAUUGAAAAAUUCAUGGUUCCACCAUUGAUUGUAUGCACAAGACUUAUUUGCGUACCUUUGCACCCAAGUUGUGGGGGGCAAACUGAGUCUAAAAAAUAGCGUUUACGUGCCUUGAAGCAACCUUUCAUAUCUUUCAUCUUCUAUAGCCAUGCCCAUAGACAUACACAUAUCCAACACAAUUCCCAUUUAUGCAUGCUUAAAUGGAACGACAUGCUUACAUGAAAUGAGACAAACAAUGAAUUGGGGAAAUCGGGAAUGACAGUGGGAGACGAAAUGGAUAUGAAAUCAACUAUUCCUACCUAAUCAAUCUAAUUUUUGAGUUUUCAAGUGUACAUUACCAGGGACGGACUCAGGAUUUCAAAAUGGUGUGGGCUAAAAUUUUCUUACGUACAAACUUAUUGAAAACUUGACGGUACGAGUAAAUUUCAUUAAUAACAAAUAAAAAAAUAAAAAAAUAAAAAAAUAAAAAAAUAAACACUUUUGGGAGAGAGAGAGAGAGAGAGAGAGAGAGAGAGAGAGGAGAUUUUAGGGGAGAGAGACGAUAGAGAGGGGGGUGGGUGUGGUGGUGUGGAGUGGGGUGGGAGAGGAGGGGACAUAAUGAGCCUUACCCCUCAAAUAACACUUAUAUAAGUUGUACCCUUAGAGUCUUCACAACGUUAAAAUCACUAAUUAUUGAUUUAUUGUCUAUAUUAUCAACAAAUUCUCUUUCAAUAUGAAGUAACAUACAAUCAACAAAUUCUCUCAAAAAUUCCAAUAAAAACGUUACAUAUACUUAAAUAGUUAAAUAUCUAAUAAAUCCCUAAUGGACAAUUCAUACAAGCAAGCAACAUACACCAAAUCAAUUUCAAAUCCUAUUUAAAAAUAAAUAAAAAUAAGAUUUUGAAAAUAAAAAAAAUUAAUUGAUAAACCUUAAUUGUAAAUCCCUAAUUGAUAUUUCAUAAACCCUAAAUAAUCCCCAAAAUUUCAAAAAAGAAGAAGAUGAAGAAUGAAAAGAUUACCUUAUAGUUUGGUUUAAUUAAGUCUGGACAUGACAUGAAUAAUUUUCCUUUUUAUAGCCGCUGAUGGUUUGCUACUUCGCAAGAUAGAGAGAGAGAGAGAGGGAAUUCUUUUUUUUUUUUUUUUUGGGAAAGGGAGAGAGGGAAUGUCUGUUUUUAGUUAGCCUAAUGGGAGUCUAAUGUUUUUUCAUGUGUGGUGUGGGGGUUAGUUCCUUUUAUUUAUUUGUUGGUCAGCCAAGUCCUAGUGAGAUUAAUUAAUAAUAUUUUAUUUGGGUAGCCUAGGCUAGAGUAUUAAUUUAAUCUUAACAAAAACAAGUUCCCUGUUCUAUAAGUCCAGAUUAGCAUGUUAAUAAGACCGUCCCUGAUUACGGAUUCUAAUGAUAUGUGUUAGUAAAGGCGAGAGAAAUCACCAAUUGGAACAAUUCAAUUAUUCGUAUGUGAACAAAACGUAGGGAAGUCAAGUCAUCAUCAUAAUAAUUUCAAUAUCCACCCAGGUAACAUGAGUGCAUGUGCUCCGGCGGCAUCGAUCAUGGGUCCAUAUACAAGCUAGGUGAAACACCGAAAUUAAACAUCACAUCUCUUUUGCCUUGAGUCCUUGUAUUCAAGAUAGAUUAUUGGGACAAACUCCACGUUUAUGAUGGAAUAAAUAGAGCCAGUUUUGUGAUUGCUUCUAAUUACCUACCCUCGUGCAUGCAUGACAGGACACUCCUUAUAGCCGAGGCCUAGCUCAGAUUUCGAAAGAUCCUGUGCCAGCCACGUGAUCUUUUUUACUCUAAUUGCAUGAAUGUGGGCAUUCAUGUAUCUGAGAUUAUAUGAUACAUAUAAGUGGGUGUUCUUGCUUCCUUCAAGUCUCGUGGGUGUUUUUGACUUUAUAUAUAUAGGUUCAUUUUUAUUCUGCGCAAGGGCCAUGAGCUUCUUUUUUAGAUUGGCAAGAUAGAUGUAAAAAAAUGUUUGGCACCGACGACAUGUUGGAUGCUGUCAUUGAUGUAGCACAGUCUUGGGUGUGUUAGUUUAAACACUCGG
rnacentral:lncRNA from 1 species